rnacentral:lncRNA from 1 species
AUGCAGGUGAAGUCACCAAAGCUGAUCUCUCAUUCGUUCUGGGGACAGUUAGCAGCGUAGUGGUCCCACUGCAGCAAAAGUUUGAAAUUCAUUUUCUUCAGGAUUCCUGCCAGCUCCCAGGGGCUUUGGUUAUAGAAGUGAAGUGGACUAAAUACGGAUCCCUGCUGAAUCCACAGGCCAAAAUAGUCAAUGUAACUGCAAAUCUAAUUUCAUCCUCCUUUCCUGAGGCCAACUCAGGAAAUGAAAGGACGAUUCUUAUUUCCACUGCGGUUACUUUUGUGGAUGUGUCUGCACCUGCAGAGGCAGGCUUCAGAGCUCCACCAGCCAUCAAUGCCAGGCUGCCCUUUAACUUCUUCUUCCCGUUUGUUUGACAAUGCUCAGAUGCAUCAGUUCCUUAAUAUACACGUGAAAUUUGAAAACUGUACAUUCGGUGAGAUUAAAUUUUAUAUACAACUAGC